rnacentral:rRNA from 1 species
GCGCGAAAACUGCACAAUGUGGGAAACCACGAUGCGGGAAGCCCAAGUGCCAGCGCUUUGCGUUGGCUGUCCUCAAGUGUUUACAACUUGGGAAGAAAGUGCUGGGUAAGACGGGUGCCAGCCGCCGCGGUAAUACCCGCAGCACAAGUGGUGGUCAUUAUUAUUGGGCCUAAAGCGUCCGUAGCUGGCCUGUUAGAUGCCUGGGUAAAUCGAAGCGCUCAACGCUUCGAAUUCCGGGUAGACCGGCAGGCUCGAGACCGGGAGAGGCGUAGGGUACUCGGGGGGUAGGGGUAAAAUCCUGUAAUCCUCCGGGGACGACCAGUGGCGAAGGCGCUACGCUAGAACGGCUCUGACAGUGAGGGACGAAGCCCUGGGGCGCAAACCGG